GAUUAAAGAAAUAAAAAGAUGAAAACCAUUUCCAAUUCGGGAUAAAUAUUUUAGACUUAUAGUAGUAACAUUUAUAGAAGAACUAACAAUACAUUACCAAUUAGAUGACUAGAAAAAUAGAGAAACAAAAAUGGACAGAGAUUAAAAAGGGCAAAAAAAAAAAAAAAAAAAGAGAAGGGAAAGAAAAAAAACUUGCAGCGUCUUUUUUCUUGUCUUCUGACACGGUUUCGGCUCCAUCUGGGCUCUCAGAUUUGAUUAGAAGUGAAAUAAUAUCAAGAAUACAUCCCAGAAGGGGAAUUGAAGAACAAGUAGAUGCAGUUUGAUCUGUAUUCAUGGUUUAUGUUAAGCUGAUCAAAUUUGGUGUAUGUGCAAGAAAAUUUUUGGUUAUUGAAGAUGAUUGCUUUAAACUUACGAAGUAAUCCAAGAAGCAGCAGUACUUAUAAUGGGUGGGGGGAGAGAGUAACCUUGUUCAAAGUCUGAUUCUCGCCGUCUUGCGUAGCACGUUCUAUUUAGGUCAAAUUAGUCACCCCAAAUAAU
rnacentral:lncRNA from 1 species